AGAUGGGAGCUUGCUCCCUGAUGUUAGCGGCGGACGGGUGAGUAACACGUGGGUAACCUGCCUGUAAGACUGGGAUAACUCCGGGAAACCGGGGCUAAUACCGGAUGCUUGUUUGAACCGCAUGGUUCAAACAUAAAAGGUGGCUUCGGCUACCACUUACAGAUGGACCCGCGGCGCAUUAUCUAGUUGGUGAGGUAAUGGCUCACCAAGGCAACGAUGCGUAGCCGACCUGAGAGGGUGAUCGGCCACACUGGGACUGAGACACGGCCCACACUCCUACGGGAGGCAGCAGUAGGGAAUCUUCCGCAAUGGACGAAAGUCUGACGGAGCAACGCCGCGUGAGUGAUGAAGGUUUUCGGAUCGUAAAGCUCUGUUGUUAGGGAAGAACAAGUACCGUUCGAAUAGGGCGGCACCUUGACGGUACCUAACCAGAAAGCCACGGCUAACUACGUGCCAGCAGCCGCGGUAAUACCUAUGUGGCAAGUUUUGCCCGGAAUUAUUGGGCGUAAAGGGCUCGCAGGCGGUUCCUUAAGUCUAAUGUGAAAUCCCCCGGCUCAACCGGGGAGGGUCAUUGGAAACUGGGGAACUUGAGUGCACAAGAAGACAGUGGAAUUCCACGUGUAGCGGUGAAAUGCGUAGAGAUGUGGAGGAACACCAGUGGCGAAGGCGACUCUCUGGUCUGUAACUGACGCUGAGGAGCGAAAGCGUGGGGAGCGAACAGGAUUAGAUACCCUGGUAGUCCACGCCGUAAACGAUGAGUGCUAAGUGUUAGGGGGUAUCCUCCCCUUAGUGCUGCAGAUAACGCAUUAAGCACUCCGCCUGGGGAGUACGGUGGCAAGACUGAAACUAAAAGGAAUUGACGGGGGCCCGCACAAGCGGUGGAGCAUGUGGUUUAAUUCGAAGCAACGGGAAGAACCUUACCAGGUCUUGACAUCCUAUUACAAUCCUAGAGAUAGGACGUCCCCUUCGGGGGCAGAGAGACAGGUGGUGCAUGCUUGUCGUCAGCUCGUGUCGUGAGAUGAUGGGUUAAGUCCCGCAACGAGCGCACCCCUUGAUGUUAGUUGCCAGCAUUCAGUUGGGCAUUGUAAGGUGACUGCCGGUGACAAACCGGAGGAAGGUGGGGAAGACGUCAAAUCAUCAUGCCCCUCAUGACCUGGGAUUCACACGUGGUACAAUGGACAGAACAAAGGGCAGCGAAACCUCGAGGUUAAGCCAAUCCCACAAAUCUGUUCUCAGUUCGGAUCGCAGUCUGCAACUCGACUGCGUGAAGCUGGAAUCCAUAGUAAUCGCGGAUCAGCAUGCCGCGGUGAAUACGUUCCCGGGCCUUGUACACACCGCCCGUCACACCACGAGAGUUUGUAACACCCGAAGUCGGUGAGGUAACCUUU
rnacentral:rRNA from 1 species